rnacentral:rRNA from 1 species
GACGAACGCUGGCGGCGUGCUUAACACAUGCAAGUCGAACGCUGAAGCUCAGCUUGCUGGGUGGAUGAGUGGCGAACGGGUGAGUAACACGUGAGUAACCUGCCCUCUUCUUUGGGAUAACGCCCGGAAACGGGUGCUAAUACUGGAUAUUCACUGAUUCUCGCAUGGGGGUUGGUGGAAAGGUUUUUUCUGGUGGGGGAUGGGCUCGCGGCCUAUCAGCUUGUUGGUGGGGUGAUGGCCUACCAAGGCUUUGACGGGUAGCCGGCCUGAGAGGGUGACCGGUCACAUUGGGACGGAGAUACGGGCCAGACUCCUACGGGAGGCAGCAGUGGGGAAUAUUGCACAAUGGGCGAAAGCCUGAUGCAGCGACGCCGCGUGAGGGAUGGAGGCCUUCGGGUUGUAAACCUCGUUCGCUCAUGGUCAAGCCGCAGCUUUGGGUUGUGGUGAGGGUAGUGGGUAAAGAAGCGCCGGCUAACUACGUG